GUGGAUGGAUGGAUGGAUGGAUGGAUGGAUGGAUAGGUGGUGGGAGUAGAUUAUGAGAAGGAUUCCACAGGUUGUUCUGGUAGAUAAGAUGUAUCAGUCACUGUCUGACAGUGUAUAGGAUGUUUGCUGUAGUGUUGUUAGUGGAGGUUAGGACUAGUAACAGGGAUGUGGAGGUUAGGACUAGUAACAGGGAUGUGGAGGUUAGGACUAGUAACAGGGAUGUGGAGGUUAGGACUAGUAACAGGGAUGUGGAGGUUAGGACUAGUAACAGGGAUGUGGAGGUUAGGACUAGUAACAGGGAUGUGGAGGUUAGGACUAGUAACAGGGAUGUGGAGGUUAGGACUAGUAACAGGGAUGUGGAGGUUAGGACUAGUAACAGGGAUGUUGUGGUGUUGGUGUAGGUUAGGACUAGUUACAGGGAUGUGGAGGUUAGGACUAGUAACAGGGAUUUUGUGGAGGUUAGGACUAGUAACAUGGAUGUUGUGGAGGUUAGGACUAGUAACAUGGAUGUUGUGGAGGUUAGGACUAGUAACAUGGAUGUUGUGGAGGUUAGGACUAGUAACAGGGAUGUUGUGGAGGUUAGGACUAGUAACAGAGAUGUUGUAGUGUUAGUGGAGGUUUGGACUAGUAACAGGGAUGUUGUGGAGGUUAGGACUAGUAACAGGGAUGUUGUGGAGGUUAGGACUAUUACAGGGAUGUUGUGGAGGUUAGGACUAGUAACAGGGAUGUUGUGGAGGUUAGGACUAGUAACAGGGAUGUUGUGGAGGUUAGGACUAGUAACAGGGAUGUUGUGGAGGUUAGGACUAGUAACAGGGAUGUUGUAGUGUUUGUGGAGGUUAGGACUAGUAACAGGGUUAAUGAGCCAUGGUGGUGUUGAUGUUGUCUCUAUGGAAGUGCUGCCCUGGAAGUGCAAGGUAGUCAUCCAGUGUUGUAGACCCAGCCGUGCAUUUCUCUCUCUGUCUGUGUCUCUCUCUCGUUCUUUGUCGCUCUCUCUCGCUCGCUCAAUCACUACUCCUCCUCUCUCUCUCCCCUUCAUCUCUCUCUUCAUCUGUCUCUCGGUCUUUCCCUCCAUCUCUCUCUCUGUGUUAGUGAUUACAUCACUCACUCACUCUCUCUCUCUCUCUCUCUCUCUCUGUCUCUCUCUCUCUCUCUCACCCUCUCUGUCUCUCUCUCUCUUGCAUAACCGCCAGCUUUGUUUGCUCCAGCUGAGGACUAAUCUUUCCCGCGAGACAGACUGAAGGAACAAGGGAGAGGAGGAGAGCAGGACAAGCCAACCUUUAUAACCUGACUGGACGCUCUGCCUCGUUAAUUCAAUCAGUCCACCAAUUAAUGGGCUUUAGAGCAGAGCCCUGUUUACAACCACCGUGACCUGUGUGUUUAUGGAGCGGUGUUUUUAAUCUGUGUGUGUGUGUGUGUGUGUGUGUGUGUGUGUGUGUG
rnacentral:lncRNA from 1 species